GUGCGCUUCACUUUUAACUUCCCUGUUGUAUCUAAUCCUUGUCUUCCUCUUGAUCUCUAGUAACUGUGCUGGGUCCAUCAUCGAAUCCACCACCUGAAGCAAGCUCAUUCAAUCCAAGAACCAGCCUUUCCUUGAGUUACCAACUUCUUGUGAGGUGGGGCUACGAAUUGGCUCAUUUUCUUGGGUUUCUGACAUGCUCUCUCUGGGUUUUAGAAUGAUGGGUUCAUUAAAAUUCUUGGUCUCGUCCUCCUCGCUUCCCAUAGAGUCAUCCUCUAGAGGGGGGCGGUUAUUAUUGCUUCCAUCAUCAGAAUGAAUUCUAGCAGACUUGUCAAUCUUUCUCGACUCAGUUUCGGAGUCAGAAAGCUCAUAUUGUCUGUAAUCAAUGCGGGUUCGUUGUGUGGAUGGGAG
rnacentral:lncRNA from 1 species